ensembl:lncRNA
GAAGAACUGUAUGAGCCUGCCUAACUCCAGGCUGAAGCUGUUGUGUGAGGAGGAAUCCAGUUGCACAAACCUCAACAGAAGUCAUGCCACACCAUGUUGCUGUGGGAGAAUGUUCUCAUCUCUAUUUCCUUUGGGAUGUUUGAAAUCAUGAGAUUUGUGUGCAUGUUAAGUGCCUACUAUUUUCAGUGUCCUGUUUAAGGUGCAGUCUAUAAUGCAGCUGGGAAAAAGAGAACACAGAUUUGAGAGAGGUUUCUCCUUACAUAUACCCUUUGGAGGUUUGGAGCAGACCACCUGGGAGUUCAUAAACUCCUGAGGGACUGAUGAGAUCCCCCCUGCAUGUGAAAUUUCUAAAAUAUACUCUAACUUCGGUUGCAAAUGUUCCAGGGUCAAAUAGUCCCAAAUAGGCACUCAAACAAGUAGGAGGAAGGGGCCAAUGAGGACCUCAUGAAAUUCAGCCAGAAUGAAUGCUGAGUCCUGCACCUGUGAAGGAUGAACCCUAGAGCUGAUAGAGGCUGGAGAGUGGCUUGGCAGGAAAGGCCUUGAAUGCCUUCAGUUAGAGGUGGUGGGCUCUUCUCAGCACAUCUGAAGGAAGGACAAGAGACAGAGUAGCCUUGUCUGAGCUCAGACCUAACCUUGCUUUGAGCAAGAAGUUAAACUCAGGAUGUCCCGAUGUCCCUUCCCACCUGAGUUAUCCUGUGCUCCUGUGCUGCCUUUAGAAGUCUGAGGCUCCCAUCCCCAGUCUGCCUCCAUCUUGCUGUGAGAAGCUGCCUCAGCCUCCCUGGUUUUUGUCUCCCGUUUUGAACCAUGUUCUGUAAAGUGAUUUCUAUUCCAAAGCAGCAGAGUCGUGUUAUGGCCAUGUUCUGAUUUAUUGUGUUUGCAUACAGUCAUGAGCUGCAGUGGAGCUAUACAUUUCUCUGAGUGAAGGGGGUAGGUUACAUGCUUUAUUACCCAUUACAGGGCUUUGAAAUAACCGGUCUCUUACUGUGAAUAUAUUAUUAUUUUUCCUAACAGCAAAGCUGAACUGCGAGUCUGCAUGGUGUGCAUGGUGGUGCCACUAGAUGUCCCUUGUCACCCAAGUGAUGUUGGUGGCUCAUCCCCAGUGCUAUAUGAUGUAGCACUGUAAAGAAAUCAGUGUUUAAAGCAUUCGAUAUAGAGAGAUGUUGUGGCUGUCUCAAAAAGAAGACUUGUGUUAUCCUCAGAAAGCUGACAUCUUGGCGAGGACAUCUGUGCCACUCAGCAUGCCUAUGCCCUUGCACAGCUUCACCUGGGCUUCUGUGGAGUGAUUCCUGCUCGCCCUUGUCCCCCAUGGUGCUCUGUGCACCUACCAUUGCUGUAUGAGUAGGGGGAUGCGCCUGUCCCCAUGCUGCCCUGAAAGCUUCUGUGCCGUGUUAUCAGCCCCAGGAUGUGUCGCUGCAGUGUGUGAUCGCACAGACCAUGCUGUUGAGUAUUCAGAGUCACAUACGCUCGCCUGAAUGACUGAAAUGAAGUAUUUGCUGCUUUCUACUUCAUUUAAACCUGCGGGAGCUGGUAGUGCUCAUCCUCCCCACACACUGAGGUAUCCACACGUGCCACUCACCAGCCUGGGGCUUCUUCCCCAAGCAAUGGCUGAGCAAAUCUCUUAAUAACAGAGCAACUACUCGCAGAUUAUUGUGAUCAUAAUUUGGCUGACAUAGCCUUUAUUACUAAUGGCAAUGCUGGAAAUGGAAAACCCAGCUUGAUGCUCAGCUCCCUGCUGGAAAGUAAUAAAAUAAAGAGGAACAAAAUCAGUGAGUGUAUUUGCUACCAAACCUUUGAAAAACACAAAAGUGGAACCCUGCCAAUGCUGUUGCUGGCGGUUUUUCAGACCAGAGCCUCUCUCCAAGGUAGGAUUAGAAGUGGAAGUGCAUUUGUAUCUAUGACAUUAGUAUCAUGUUGUUGUGUAUGAAUGGAGGAUUUGCAAUCAUUUGACAUCUAUUGGUUUCUAUUGCAAUUAUGGCGCGCUGCUUUUUUUUUUACCUUCAGCAUAUUCUUUAACAUCUUCCAGUCAUGGAAUAAGUAGAAGACAACUUCAGUUAUUGUCACAAUCAAACAAACAAAGACAAGUGUUUUUUUUUUUGCCAACUCAAAGAAUGGUCAAAAGAGGAGUUUCAUUGAAAAUGUUCUGAUAAAAAUGGAGGAUGUCGCAGCUUUUCAGUGAGGUCUUUGUUGACAACAUGAGCUGAGGGAGGUUGGCUUUUACAUAGCCUCUUUUGUCCAUCUUUGUGCAAUGGCAGAAUUCACAGCUAAAUUCUGAUGGCAGAAAUUUCUUGUCUGAGAAUGGUAUAUCAUAUAGAUUAAUAACAAAAAAACAUCCCCAGACCAUAGCUCGGAUUUUGAAUACCAGAAUGAGCCUUCAGUGCUAAGGAAUGAGCCUCCAGUGCUAAGAAUACAGAAAAAGCUAUUAAUUUUUUUUCUUAAACAUAAAGAGAACCACUUGAUAAAAUCAGUUGCAAAUAAAGGAGGAAUGUAAAUGCACUUUUCAAUUAUUUUUUUAUUUCCCUCCCUCUCUCUCUCUCUUUUUUUUUUUCCAUGUUAAUACUUCUUUGGAUCUUGGUUCAUAACCAUCCAGUAAUUAUAAUUAUAAAGGAAACUAACUUUUACCGUGCUAAUUAAACUGUAUGUCACAUAGGCAUUCGGGGAGAAUUUCCCAUGCUUUCUAGCAUGAAUGGAAGGAAAGAGCAGCGGUGCUCAAUUUAAACUCGAUUUUUUUCUGGUACCUUGCAAAAAGGCUUCAUUGUAUUUUGAUUAAUCCAUGCUUGGUCCACCUCGGAUGUUUCCAUGGAAACAGAAUUUUUUUUUUCUUGAUGGCAACUGUUAGGCUCAGGAAGGUUCCUCUCCACACAAAACCACUCUGGCUCCUAAAGAACUACUUGUUGGAAAUUUAAUGUGCAUAAACAAAACUCCCAAAUUCCUCCUCAGUAUUACGGCAUUAUUGUUGUCAACGCUAAUAGAGAAGUGUUUUCUUAAUGGUACAGAGUGGUGCCUUUUCACUCCACAAGAAAAUAGAAUGUUACUAUUCUUUCUGCUGCCAGAGAGCGCUUUUCUUGGUCCAGGAAAAAUUAGAUUGCAAACCUUUCAAAAUUAAAUUUUAAGAGUUCCAAUGUGUGAAUAUUAUCUAGUUCUAGGCAUAAAUCAUUUGCCUUAAUGGCUGUAAAAAAAUUAAUUAAACUUGCCUUGUCGAUUGGCAGUAAUUUGAAUAAAUUAUUCUUC